UACCCGCUGAACUUAAGCAUAUCAAUAAGCGGAGGAAAAGAAACCAACAGGGAUUACCUU
rnacentral:rRNA from 1 species